rnacentral:rRNA from 1 species
GACGGAGGGUGGCAAGCGUUGUUCGGAAUUACUGGGCGUAAAGCGCGGGCAGGUGGCCUUUUAAGUCCUUUGUGAAAUUCCGGAGACUCAACUCCGGAUGUGCAUAGGAUACUGGAAGGCUAGAGACUGGUAGAGGCGAGCGGAAUUCCUGGUGUAGCGGUGGAAUGCGUAGAUAUCAGGAAGAACACCGGUGGCGAAGGCGGCUCGCUGGGCCAGUUCUGACACUCAUCCGCGAAAGCGUGGGGAGCAAACAGG